GAGGCUCGAGUCGCGGCGCCUGGGGCGGUGGCCGCCGGACCAAAGCUGGCCUCUCCCGGCUCCUCCUCCUCGCUCCCCAAGGCCUUUCCCACCGCGUCAUUGUCUCGGUUUAUCUGCAGAUACGUCUACCUAGCAGUCAGCCCAGCAGCGUAAGUGGUGACCAGUGUGGGCCUCUUUGAUCCUGAGACCGAAGGCUCGGCCACUGGCCCUCUCCAUUUGUUCCUUGUUGCCCUCCCUUCAUGAUUCAAUCCAUUAAUUAGGACUUUUCCUACCAGCUGGCAGUUCAGAGCUCCGCAUCCCCAGGCCUCUGAGUCACAGUUCCUGCCUUCAUGAAACUAGGAGUUGGGGCCACUGCAUUCUACUCCUUCGGGACUAUUGUUUCAUUUCUCAGUCCCUCAAACCCUUUAUUGGAUGAACAUGGGGUUAGGACAGCGGUUCUCCACUGCAACAGUUUUGCCUCCCAGGAGACAUUUGGCAAUGUAUGAAUCAUUUUCAGCCUCUCAUCUGGGGUGAGAUGUCAUUGGAAUCUACAGAUGGUGGAGGGCACAGGCUAUUUUCUGAUCGGUUUCUGAAACCUGAAAAUGGAAUUAGCAGAAGAACUAUCCUGAACGAAUAUGUGACCACAGAGAACAGAAAACUAAGGGCAGAAAAAGAUAACCUGCAAAGAAUGCUGGUAAUCAAGUAGAGUUACUGUUGAGCUGAACUGAAUGAUCGGAUCCUCUUGAGCCCCAAAUGAGAUAUAACUAUUACCAUAAUCAAGAGUUGACUGGAGGUAAAGAACACUACAAUCCCAGUGUUCUAGUGACAAAGCCACUAAAGAAGCUGGUUCUGACCUACUGUAAGCAAGCCAUGCAGACUCAGCAGACCAGAAAACGUCUUUCUCCUGCUUUUCAGGCUACUUGCUCAUACCAUUUACCUAUACCACUUAGUUGCUCAUCUAUUAAACUUAGAGGACUUUUCCCUCUUUCAUUUCAUAGCCAGGCAGACUGCCCAAGACACCCUUGGGGAAACCUACUAUUUUUUUCUGUCUACCACGGUGUUUCGAACUUCUCACACUUCUGAGAAUCCUCCUCCUUCUCAGUAGACAACCAUGGAUUCUACUGCAGAAAACACAGAAGCCAUCAGAUUCAAACUCUUUCACCUUCACGCCAACCCAUCUAUAAGCCUUCUUAAAUUUGUACCCAGAUGGGCCUCCUGUCUUUGUGUUAACAUGAAAAAGUGUCUCUUCCUGUCUAUCUAAAGCCAAUCCCACCUCCUACGCUCUGCUGCCCUUCCCAUCUUCUAGGAACCGUGUGCUUCUUUCCUUACAUUGGCUCUCCAGGUGUCUCAUCCAUUCUCAUAGCUUUAAAAGACACUUAUUUUCGUCACUGGUGUCAGCAGCCCAACCUUCUACUCAGACGCCAGCCUAUACACCCUACUGCCUAUCUCACAUCUCUUCUUGAUGUCCCACAGAUAACUCAAUUUAUCUAAAAUGUAACCCAAUUUUUUUUCUUAUCCCUACUCUUAUUAUACUAACUAGCACCAACCGUCAACCCAGUUGCUCAAGCUAGGAAUCUGAAAGUCAUUGAUUUUCGCUUUCCCUCAUUCCUUACAUUUAUCAGCAAACUGUCAAAUCCACUUCCAAAAAUCUCCACUCCAGUCUCCACUGGCACCACCCUAUUUCAAGCUGCCAUCAUCUCUUGCACUGACUACUGCCACAGCCUCCUAACUGGUCUCCUUCAUUCCAUUCAGCACUUUGCAUACAACAGCCAGAGUCAUCUUUUCAGCGCUUUCAUGCCAUUCCCCUGCUGAAAAUCCUUUGCAACUGCUUCUAACUGCACUUAAAUAAAAUCCAAAUGCCGUAUCAGGUCUACAAAGCCCCACACAAUACAGCCUAUCUACUCCUCCAAAUUUAUCCUGUGCUACUCUUCCUUUGCUCCAGCCACACUGGCCUUUUUUAGUUCUAAGAAUCAUAUAACUAAGCUCUUUCCUGCCGCAGUGCCCUUGUACAUGCUACUCCACUCCUGGAAUGUCUAACUCUCUCUCAUCUUUCAGGUUUUAGCAUUAAUUCCAUAUUCUCAGAGAAGCCUUUUUUAGCUACCCUAGCCCUCCAAUGUCCUAUGUCC
ensembl:lncRNA novel transcript, antisense to FERMT2